AUUGAACGCUGGCGGCAGGCCUAACACAUGCAAGUCGAGCGAGCGGCGGACGGGUGAGUGAUGUAUUGGGACUGCCCGAUCGAGGGAGCUAACGAGUGGAAACCGUGGCUACUACCGCAUACUAUCGGAUAACCCAUAUGGGAUUAGCUAGUAGGUGGGGUAAAGGCUCACCUAGGCGACGAUUUCUAGCUGGUCGGAGAGGAUGAUCAGCCACACUGGGACUGAGACACGGCCAAGACUCCUACGGAGGCAGCAGUGGGGAAUAUUGCACAAUGGGCGAAAGUAUGACGCAGCAAUGCCGCGUGUAUGAAGAAGGCCUUAGGGUUGUAAAGUUCUUUUGGUAGCGAGGCGUUAACUAACUAAGAAGCACCGGCUAACUACGUGCCAGCAGCCGCGGUAAUAC
rnacentral:rRNA from 1 species